AGAGUUUGAUCCUGGCUCAGGAUGAACGCUGGCGGCGUGCCUAACACAUGCAAGUCGAGCGAUUCUCUUCGGAGAAGAGCGGCGGACGGGUGAGUAACGCGUGGGUAACCUGCCCUGUACACACGGAUAACAUACCGAAAGGUAUGCUAAUACGAGAUAAUAUGCUUUUAUCGCAUGGUAGAAGUAUCAAAGCUUUUGCGGUACAGGAUGGACCCGCGUCUGAUUAGCUAGUUGGUAAGGUAACGGCUUACCAAGGCGACGAUCAGUAGCCGACCUGAGAGGGUGAUCGGCCACAUUGGAACUGAGACACGGUCCAAACUCCUACGGGAGGCAGCAGUGGGGAAUAUUGCACAAUGGGCGAAAGCCUGAUGCAGCAACGCCGCGUGAGCGAUGAAGGCCUUCGGGUCGUAAAGCUCUGUCCUCAAGGAAGAUAAUGACGGUACUUGAGGAGGAAGCCCCGGCUAAGUACGUGCCAGCAGCCGCGGUAAUACGUAGGGGGCUAGCGUUAUCCGGAAUUACUGGGCGUAAAGGGUGCGUAGGUGGUUUCUUAAGUCAGAGGUGAAAGGCUACGGCUCAACCGUAGUAAGCCUUUGAAACUGGGAAACUUGAGUGCAGGAGAGGAGAGUGGAAUUCCUAGUGUAGCGGUGAAAUGCGUAGAUAUUAGGAGGAACACCAGUUGCGAAGGCGGCUCUCUGGACUGUAACUGACACUGAGGCACGAAAGCGUGGGGAGCAAACAGGAUUAGAUACCCUGGUAGUCCACGCCGUAAACGAUGAGUACUAGCUGUCGGAGGUUACCCCCU
rnacentral:rRNA from 1 species